GACGAACGCUGGCGGCGUGCUUAACACAUGCAAGUCGAACGAUGAACCGAGAGCUUGCUCUUGGGGAUUAGUGGCGAACGGGUGAGUAACACGUGAGUAACCUGCCCUGGACUCUGGGAUAACCCCGAGAAAUCGGAGCUAAUACCGGAUAGGACCUUGCACCGCAUGGUGUGGGGUGGAAAGUUUUUCGGUUUGGGAUGGACUCGCGGCCUCUCAGCUUGUUGGUGAGGUAAUGGCUCACCAAGGCGUCGACGGGUAGCCGGCCUGAGAGGGUGACCGGCCACACUGGGACUGAGACACGGCCCAGACUCCUACGGGAGGCAGCAGUGGGGAAUAUUGCACAAUGGGUGCAAGCCUGAUGCAGCAACGCCGCGUGCGGGAUGACGGCCUUCGGGUUGUAAACCGCUUUUAGUAAGGAAGAAGGGGAGCUUGCUCCUUGACGGUACUUGCAGAAAAAGGACCGGCUAACUACGUGCCAGCAGCCGCGGUAAUAC
rnacentral:rRNA from 1 species